GAACCGUCCAAACGUUAUUCGGAAUUAUUGGGCUUAAAGGGUAUGUAGGCGGCGCUGUUAGUCGGGUGUGAAAUCCCUCGGCUCAACCGAGGAAUUGCGCCCGAAACUGCAGUGCUUGAGGGAGACAGAGGUAAGCGGAACUGAUGGUGGAGCGGUGAAAUGCGUUGAUAUCAUCAGGAACACCGGUGGCGAAAGCGGCUUACUGGGUCUCUUCUGACGCUGAGAUACGAAAGCUAGGGGAGCGAAGGGGAUUAGAUACCCCCGUAGUCCUAGCUGUAAACGAUGAGCACUUGGUCGGGGAUCCCCUCAUAGGUUCUCGGCCGUAGCGAAAGUGUCAAGUGCUCCGCCUGGGGAGUAUGGUCGCAAGGCUGAA
rnacentral:rRNA from 1 species